AGAGGGUGCGAGCGUUAAUCGGAAUUACUGGGCGUAAAGGGCGCGUAGGUGGUUUGUUAAGUUAGAUGUGAAAUGUGCGGGCUUAACCUGCAUUUGUCAUCUGAUACUGGCAGACUAGAGUACAGUAGAGGGUAGCGGAAUUUCCGGUGUAGCAGUGAAAUGCGUAGAUAUCGGAAGGAACACCAGUGGCGAAGGCGGCUACCUGGACUGAUACUGACACUGAGGCGCGAAAGCGUGGGGGUAGCGAACGGGAUUAGAUACCCCGGUAGUCCACGCCGUAAACGAUGACAACUAACCCGUUGGACUCUUAUAUGGGUUUAGUGGUGAAGCAAACGCGAUAAGUUGUCCGCCUGGGGAGUACGACCGCAAAGGUUA
rnacentral:rRNA from 1 species